rnacentral:lncRNA from 1 species
GAAAAUGGUCUCAAAGUGGGAAGAUUCGGGGCACUUAUUAUAGCCAGAGCGGCAACAACUUCCAAAAUAAGAAGGAGGGUGAGACUAAUAUCAUCAUGGACAAUGUCAUGAAUUCAUACCAGGGGCCAGAAAAAUCUUAUCGUCCCCUAGUGUAUAAGCAUCAACCACCCCUGCACAAUAUUAUCCAUACCCAUAUGCAGCAGCCACAUUUCCAGUUCAUUAUCCCUAAUCAAGGCCUUCCUAGCCUCCACAUCAGCAGCCUCUGUCUAUUCCUCCUUAAAAU